AGGGGAAUAGUAAUGUUUGAUACUU
rnacentral:piRNA from 1 species